rnacentral:tmRNA from 1 species
GGGCGAGUUUCAGAUUCGAUUGCGGGCGGCAGACAGGAAAAGCAUAUCAAAGGCUCGGCUUUGUAAAAACGGAACUUAAAUUUAAAUGCAGAAUCCAACGAUUCAAAAGUUGUCGCUUUCCCCGCUCACAGGGCGGCAAGCGUAGCUUGCGCAGCGUAACUUAACGCUGUCCGUCGUAUUCCGUUCACCGUCGGCGGAACUACGGCGCUAUUAAGGCGGUAAACUUUUUUGCGCGUUUUACCGCGCGCGUAAAAAUGUAUUUUGCGGUAUGCGCGUAUAAGAGCCCGUUCGUCGGCGUUUAUACGUAAAGCUAAACGGCGGAAUAAGUAUGUAGAAAGCCUGAAUAAACCCCGUAAGACUAGGGUGCAAGUCCCUACUCGUCCACCA